rnacentral:rRNA from 1 species
CCUUGUACACACCGCCCGUCACACCAUGGGAGUUGGUUCUACCCGAAGCCGGUGCGCUAACCGCAAGGAAGCAGCCGACCACGGUAGGGUCAGCGACUGGGGUGAAGUCGUAAACAAGGUACC